GGACACAUCCCCUGGGCUCUGUUCUGCUCAGCCCAGGGUCUGGGUUCAACAAAUGGAAUAAUGAGAGUAGAAGAUGGAUCCACCCUUCCAGUAGAACAUCAGGUUCCGAAAGUAUACACUGGUAAGGAGAUGGCAUUUUGUCACUCCCCACCUCUCUUCGCUUGCCUGCUGAAAAUUUCCUCAUUUCCCUUUAAGCCCUACUUCCAGUUGGCCCUGCAAACCUCUUUUCACAAUGGCUACAUGGGCCCUUUGUGACAUCAGCAAGGGCCCAGCUCUUCCUGGUCCUCAGUCUCCAGGUGCCAGGGCAGACCAGCGCACCAGGAGCCAUUUCCUCUUGCCUCAGGAGAGCUCCAGGGGGAUCUUCCAAAGACAGGGAUCGAACAUGGCUGUCCCACACUGCAGGCAGGCUCUUUACCCACUGAGCCACCAGGGAAACUCUUGCUAUGCAGAAGGAUCAUUCUAAUUUCAUCCCUGAAAAAAAAAAUGAAAGAUAAGAAAAAGCUCAUUUCUUCAGUCGCCAGAAUGUGAGACAACUUUAACAAAGCUUGACCUUUAAAGGCUAGCUCCAUUAUUCACACUGAGACUUUUAUUGAAGACCAAAUUUCAGCUACCAAAUUUGACUACAGCCUUGUAUGGUAGGUAUAAACAUCUGACUUAUUGAGAGGUAAGAGAUAUACAGGGCACAUUUAUCUAAUCACUUUGUUAAUAUUUUCCUACUUUGUUAUUAUGAAAUAUUUCACAAGGACAAUUGUGAAACAAAAUCAUAAAAUAAAAUAAGAAUGGGGAUGGACUUCACCAUAGACAAGGAAAUGGUUGGCAACACCAUCCUUGUAGGCUGAAUAGGUUUUCAGGACCUAUUAUUUCCAUUGGCCUGUUCAGGACAUGCACAACAAGCUCUUCUAAUCAAAGAUUUAUGGAUUCCCUGCCAUUAACCUAGAAGUCCCUACCACAACUGGCCCAAUAGACUGGGUAUGCCACCCAUGUGACACUAGAUCGUCACAGAGUUGGACCCUGCAAAAGGACCCCUGGAAUUCCUGACCCUGUAGCUGUAGAGAUUUAUUUACCUUUAAGUAAUGUGACCCCAAAUUUUAUAAAAUUGUAGUUUUUAAUCUCACUUUUUAAAAUUGCUUUUCAUUAUGAUAGGGCUUUAAAUUAUUGCAUAUUUCCCAAAUGACUGGUCUAUACACACUGCCUUAAGCCAUGGUCCCUCUCUUGGCCAUCUGUCUUCUGUCAUCUAGGGCUGCCCUGGCCCCUUGCUUAGAACUCCUUCCCUUAGGCUCUCAGAGCAACUAAGGAAUAACAGGAGUUCCCUAAGAUCCCACUCUUGGGCCAAAGUGAAUGAAGAUGGGCUUAAUGGUUUUGUGUUCUGUGCAAUUACACCAGGCCCUAUUCUUGGGUGCUUGGAAGGGCCUCAAUCGUGAUUUCAUGAUCUGCUGUGAACGUCUUGAAAGUUUGAAUCAUUUUUGAAUCAUCUUGAAGCCCCGUAUUUUAUUCUUUACUGUAUUCUGUCAAUUAUGUAGCCACUCCUGAGAUCCAGCAUCUGUUAUAAUUAGUCUGCUCAGUGAAGUGAAGUAAGGUGAAAUGAAAGUCACUCAGUCAUUUCCGACUCUUUACAACCCCAUGGACUGUCCAUGGCAUUCUCCAGGCCAGAAUACUGGAGUGGGCAGCCAUUUCCUUCUGCAGGGGAUGCUUCCACGUCUGAGACUGGUGAUCCUAGGCAAGUUGCCUGACUUUGUGUGCACCCACAUACACAGAUUAAACGAGUAAAAAUCUUUAACCAUUUGCUUUUGUGUGUUUGCAGAUAGAAAACUGGAACUAUGCCAUUUAAUUAGGGAAGCAUCCUGUCAAAUUCUCUCUGGUUGGCAUUGGAGCACAAGAUCUGAAAGAUGGAAAUCAAACCCUGACUUAAGCUUUGGUCUGGCACCUGAUAAGAAUGUAUGCUACAAAAUUUUAGCUAUUUAAGCUUCACCAUCAUACAGGUCUGUGAUCUAGUCCUUACUAUUUUUAAAGAAACGUAUCGAUGACUCUGCCUUUGAAAUUUUUGUGCUUGGACUCUGAAGUGAGCUUAAGUAGUGAAUAUAUGUUAGAUGGCUAAUGGAAAAUGUUUUCUUGAAAGUGAGGCAGUAGAAUUGACUAUUUCCUUUUUUUCAUACGAAGUUUGACACAGGCUUGAUCCUCAUUUAGUGUUGGUGGAUGAAAAUAGCAAAAAUUAUGGACAUGUAUAUAUUUGAGAAAGAAGGUCUGUUAACUGUAGCACUAAAAAGCAAUUCAUUAUAACUGGAUUCCAGCCAAAGCACAGCAUCCUUUAAGAUGUCACCAUGAGUUGGUCUAGUAGAAAGUGAAACUGCAGUAGAUCACAGGACUUACUCAUUAGAGCACUGAAAGUCUUCCCACCACCAGUGAAAAAGGCAGCUCAAAGGGAAGCCACUACUACUCGAUUUGUUUUUUUUCAUAUAGUUUGAAUCUCUUUCCAUGAAAUCUUUAAUCUCUCAAAUCUAAGGAAAAGAAAUGAAAGAUAAGGGCACAAUAAAGGACAGAAACAGUAUGGACCUAAAUGAAGCAGAAGAUUAUAAGAAGAGGUGACAAGAAUACACAGAAGAAUUAUACAAGAAAGGCUUUAAUGCCCCAGAUAACCACAAUGGUAUGAUCACUCACCUACAGGCAGACAAAAGCAAAGUCACAUGGGCCUGAGGAAUCAUCACUAUGAACAAAGCUAGUGGAAGUGAUGGGAUUUUAGCUGAACUAUUUCAAAUCUAAUAAGAUGAUGCUGUGAAAGAGCUGCACUCAGUAUUCUAGCAAAUUUGGAAAACUCAGCAGUGGCCACAGAACUGGAAAAUUUCAGUUUUAAUUGCAAUCCUGAAGAAAGGCAAUGCCAAAGAAUGUUCAGACACAAUGGCACUCAUCUCACUCACUAGCAAAGAAAUGCUCCAAAUUCUCCAAGCUAGGCUUCAAUGGUAUGAGAACCAUGAACUUCCAGAUGUUCAAGCUGGAU
ensembl:lincRNA